rnacentral:rRNA from 1 species
UACGAAGGGGGCUAGCGUUGUUCGGAAUUACUGGGCGUAAAGGGCGCGUAGGCGGCCUUCUAAGUCAGACGUGAAAUCCCCCGGCUUAACCUGGGAACUGCGUCUGAUACUGGAGGGCUGGAGUAUGGGAGAGGGAUGUAGAAUUCCAGGUGUAGCGGUGAAAUGCGUAGAUAUCUGGAGGAAUACCGGUGGCGAAGGCGGCAUCCUGGACCAUUACUGACGCUGAGGCGCGAAAGCUAGGGGAGCAAACGGG